GCUGGGCGUGGUGGCACACACCUGUAAUCCCAGGGGCUCGGGAGGCUGAGGCAGGAGGAUUACAAGUUUGAGGCCAGCCUCAGUAACUUAAUGAGACCCUAAGCAACUUAGGGAGACCUUGUCUCAA
rnacentral:sRNA from 1 species